rnacentral:rRNA from 1 species
CAGCAGCCGCGGGAACACGAAGGGGGCUAGCGUUGUUCGGAAUUACUGGGCGUAAAGCGCACGUAGGCGGAUACUUAAGUUAGGGGUGAAAUCCCAGGGCUCAACCCUGGAACUGCCUUUAAUACUGGGUAUCUUGAGUUCGAGAGAGGUAAGUGGAAUUCCGAGUGUAGAGGUGAAAUGCGUAGAUAUUCGGAGGAACACCAGUGGCGAAGGCGGCUUACUGGCUCGAUACUGACGCUGAGGCGCGAAAGCGUGGGGAGCAAACAGGAUUAGAGACCCCAGUAGUCCCUGUCUCUUAUAC